rnacentral:tRNA from 1 species
GCCUUGGUAGCUCAGUCGGUAGAGCGCCUGCCUGUUAAGCAGAUGGUCAGAAGUUCGAGUCUUCUCCAGGGCGCCA